CUUAGUCAAGUUCCCCACAUACAUCCUUCGCUGGCUGCCUGGGGUCAAACCCUUCCUCUACAAAUUGUGAUCUUUGUGACCUCUGGCAAGUUACGGAACUUCUGUGCCCCUCCUGUACAAUGGGGAGAAAAAUGGAAUCUGGCUGUUGCCAGGAGAUGAGGAUGGAAGCAUCUCUUUUGCCCCAUACACAGAUUAUCUCCUCAUCCCACCUCGAAUUCCGCCUGCAGAGCUGAGACGAUGGCCAUGAAUGCUGCCACAAUCCCACCUCACGUGUGCACCUCGUAGUCACUACUUUUCCUCCAGACAUUUUCUCAAGCCAGAAGAAUGAGCACAGCCCACAUCUGAAGCAGCCUGAGAGGCUGGGCCUGCAGGGGAGAUACCGGCCCUAUGGAAGGCAGUUGGUGGGCAAAAGUCCGGUUUCUACGCUUUGAGGGGACACCUGUGGGGCACCCUGAGGCCCAGCCCUGCUGGGUGAGUAUGGCCUGGCUGUGUGUCUUCACAGCUCCUAUCACGACUUCAAAUUAUCUUCCACAUUUGUCUCCAGGUGACUAAUUACUGAGGUGAGGCCUGCAGUAGUCAGAAGAAUUUCCUCCUAAUUUUGUUAUGAAUGUGUGUGCGUAUUAUAUAGCAAAUAUCUUUGUUUUCUUCCCUCUCUUAUCCUGUUAUGUAACAUAAGAUGUAUUUAGGUUAUAAGAUUGUAUUCAAGAAUUGUGAAUUUUACAUCAUAGAAUCUAAGUUGAAAAUAUCAGAAGAAGAGUAAACCUCACUCAAGGCCUUUAUUUCCUUUUCUGGGGAAGAGAUUGUGUGUUUUCAGUUGUAUGUGGGAUUAGCUGUAUCACGUUAGGUGGAAUGGUGACCUUGGUAUCUUCUUUAUUUGAGGAUAAAGUGUGGUUUUAAGGAAACCCAUCAGUGCCAAGGUGACAACGGGUGACGUGAUGGUGAAUUUUACGUGUCAACUUGAUGAGGACACAGGGUGUCCAGAUAUUUGGUCAGACAUUCUGGGUGUGUCUGGGGGGUGUUUCUGGUUGAGAUUAAUAUUUUAAUUGUCAGACUGAGUAAAGCAGACUGCCCUCCCUAAUGGGGGUGGGCCUCAUCCACCCACGAGAAACCUGGAAUAGAAUGAAAGGGCCGUCCCUCCUCUGAGAAACGGGGGACUCUGCUGGCUGAUGGCCCCCACCUGGAAUGCUGGCUCUUCCUGCCCAGCUGCCUUCAAGCUGGGACAUUAGCUUUCUGCUGCCUUCAGACUCUAACUGGAACAUCUCUUCCUGGGUCUCCAGCCUGCUGGCCUUUGGACUGGAGCUACACCAUCAGCUCUCGGAGGUCUCCACUCGCCAACUCACCCUGCAGAUCACGGAACUUGUCAGCCUCCAUAACUGCAGGAGCCAAUGCCUUAUAAUAAAAUCUCUUUCUCUUGUCUUUUCUCUUUCUCUCUCUCUAGAUAGAUAGAUGUAUGAAACAAGGAAGCAGAAAAGAAAGAAUGAUAGAAGAUAGACGAUAAAUAGAUAGAUAGAUGGAAAAAGGAGGAAGAAAAAAAAGGGAGGAAAGAAAGAAAACAAAGAACUGGUAUCCCAUUGUUUCUGUUUCUCUGGAGAAACCCAGUGAACACAGAUUGUGAUCCCUCAUUAGAAUCUAAGUACCAGGAGAACAGAAACCUUGUCUUUCGUGAUCAUAAUCCUAUAAACAACAAAAAAAAUUAACACCUGGGUCAUUAGCUCAGAGGAAUCCAAGAUGGAAAUGGCCAGAGGAUGGAACAGGUUGUUUUCCCAGAUGAAGCCUCCAGGUAAGCAUGGACCACUCCUUCAGGAUGCAGCCAGGUAAGCGUGGACAAUUCCUUCAGGAUAGAGGCUGGUAAGUAUGAACCAUUCCUCCACGGUGUAGCCAGGUAAGCAGGAAGCAUUCCUUCAGGAUGCAGCCAGGUAAGUAUGAAACAUUCCUUCAGGAUGCAGCUAGGUAAACAUGGAUCAUUUCUUCAGGAUGGAGCCGGAUAAAUGUGAAUCAUUUCUUCAGGAUGCAGCCAGGGAAGUGUGGACAAUUCCUUCAGUGUAAAGCCAGGGAAGCGAGGGCCAUUAUUACUUCAGGAUGGAGCCAGGUAUGCAUAGACCAUUCCCUCAGGAUGGAGCCAAGUAAGCAUGGACAAUUCCUUCAGGAUGCAGCCAGGUAAGCACAGACCUUUCCUUUAGGGUGCAGCCAGGAAACUGUGGACCAUUUCUUCAGGAUGGAGCCAGGUAAGCGUGAAACAUUUCUUCAGGAUGCAGCCAAGUAAGCACAGACCUUUGCGUUAGGGUGCAGCCAGGUAACUGUGGACCAUUUCUUCAGGAUGCAGCCAGGUAAGCAUGAACCUUUCUUCUGAAUGGAUCAUUUCUUCUGGAUGGAGCCAGCUAAGCAUGGACCAUUCCCUUAGGAUAAAGCCAGGUAAGUUUGGACCAUUUUCUCAGAAUGCAGCCAGGUAACCAGGGACCAUUCUUUCAGGAUACAGCCAGGAAAGGAUGGACCAUUUUUUAAGGAUACAGCCACAUAAAUACGAUACAUACUUUCAGGAUAAAGCCAGGUAAGCAUGAACCAUUCCUUCAGAAUGCAGCCAUGUAGGCAGAGACCAACCCUUCAGGUUGGAGCCAGGUAAGCAUGAACCAUUCCUCCAUGAUGAAGCCAGUUAAGCAUAGGCAAUUCCUUUAGGAUGGAGCCAGGUAAGCAUGGGCCAUUCUUUCAGAAUGCAGUCAGGUAAGCAUGAACCAUUCCUUCAGGAUCCUGCCAGGUAAGCGUGGACCAUUAUUUCAGGAUGCAGUCAGGUAAGCAUGAACCAUUCCUUCAGGAUCCUGCCAUGUAAGCGUGGACCAUUAUUUCAGGAUGCAGUCAGGUAAGCAUGAACCAUUACUUCAGAAUGGAGCCAGGUAGGCAUGGACCAUUCCUUCAUGAUGCAGCCAGGUAAGCAUGAACCAUUACUUCACCGUGGAGUGAGGUAAACAUGAACCAAUCCUUCAGGAUGAAUCCUGAUAAGUAUGGACCUUUCUUUUAGGGUGUAGCCUCAUAAGAGUGGACCACUCCUUCAGGAUGGACCCAGGUAAGUGUCAACCAUUCCUUCCUAAUGCAGCAUGGUAAGCAUGGAUCACUCAUUCAGGAUGCAGCCAGGUAAGUACAAAACAUUCCUUCUGGAUGGAGCCAGGUAAGCAUGGACCAUUCUGUCAGGAUGCAGCCACGUAAGCAUGAACCAUUUCUUCAGGAUGGAGUCAGAAAAGCAUGUACCAUUUUUUCAGAAUGCAGCCAGGUAACUGUGGACGAUUCCCUCAGGAUGGAGCCAAGUAAGCAUGGACCAUUCUCUCAGCAUGGAGCCAGGUAAGCAUGGACCAUUCCUUAAGAAUGGAGCCAGGUAAGCAUGAACCAUUUCAUCAGGAUGCAGCCAGGUAAGCAUGAACCAUUCUGUCAGGAUACAGCCAGGUAAGGGUGGACCAUUCUGUCAGGAUACAGCCAGGUAAGCAUGGACCAUUCUUUCAGAUGGUGUCAGGUAAGCAUGAACCAUUCUGUCAGGAUGCAGCCAGGUAAACAUGGGCCGUUCCAUCAGGAUGCAGCCCUGUAAGUGUGAACCAUUUCUUAAGAAUGGAGCCAGGUAAGCAGGGACCAUUUUUUCAGGAUGCAGUCAGAAACUAUGAACCAUCCCCUCAGGAUGGAGCCAGGUAAGCAUGGACCAUUCCUUCAGGAUGCAGCCAGGUAAGUAAGAACCAUUCUUUCAGUACAGAAGCAAGCAAGCAUGGACCAUUCCUUCAGGAUGCAGCCAGGUAAACAUAGACCAUUCCUUCAGGAUAGUGCCAGGUAGGUGUGGAUCUUCCUUCAGGACGGAGCCAGGUAAGCAUGGACCAUUCCUUCAGGAUGCAGCCAGGUCAGCAUGGACCAUUCCUUCAGGAUAGUGCCAGGUAGGUGUGGAUCUUCCUUCAGGACAGAGCCAGGUAAGCAUGGACCAUUCCUUCAGGAUGCAGCCAGGUAAGCAUGGACCAUUCCUUCAGGAUAGUGCCAGGUAGGUGUGGAUCUUCCUUCAGGACGGAGCCAGGUAAGCAUGGACCAUUCCUUCAGGAUGCAGCCAGGUAAACAUAGACCAUUCCUUCAGGAUAGUGCCAGGUAGGUGUGGAUCUUUCCUUCAGGACGGAGCCAGGUAAGCAUGGACCAUUCCUUCAGGAUGCAGCCAGGUAAGCAUGGACCAUUCCUUCAGGAUAGUGCCAGGUAGGUGUGGAUCUUCCUUCAGGACGGAGCCAGGUAAGCAUGGACCAUUCCUUCAGGAUGCAGCCAGGUAAGCAUGGACCAUUCCUUCAGGAUAGUGCCAGAUAGGUGUGGAUCUUUCCUUCAGGACGGAGCCAGGUAAGCAUGGACCAUUCCUUCAGGAUGCAGCCAGGUAAGCAUGGACCAUUCCUUCAGGAUAGUGCCAGGUAGGUGUGGACAUUUCCUUCAGGAUGGAGCCAGGUAAGUGCGGACCAUUCCAUCAGGAUGCAACUUGGUAAGCAUGAGCCAUUUCUUAAGGAUGGAGUCAGAUAAGCAUGUAGCAUUCCUUCUGAAUGCAGCCAGCUAAGUGUGGGCCAUUCCUUCAGGAUGCAGCCAGGUAAGCAUGGACCAUUCCUUCUGGAUGGAGGUAGGUACGUAUGCACCUUUUUUUCAGGAUGGAGUCCGGUAAGCAUGGACCAUUCCUUCAGGAUGGAGCCAGGUAAGCAUGGACUACUUCCUCAGGAUGGAGUCGGAUAAGCAUGGCCCUCUCCUGGAUGCAGCCAGGUAAGGGUGGACCGUUCCUUCAAGAUGGAGCCAUCAAACAUGCAGAUCACCCCACAGCACCCUUGCUCCAGUUGACUGGGUUUGGUAACAUGGUGGCAAAAUCAAAAACUUGUAAACUAGUAGAAAAACGUUUUUUAGCUCAUGAGUCCUCUUCAGGCCAAGCUCAGAAGCUGGUGCCAUUGGUCAGCCUCCCUUCGUGGUUGGAGUUCUUCUCCCACAUCAGCUUCUGCCAGGGCGUGUGCCUGUGCAGCCCGAGUCCAGUGUUCCUGUGAGCUGAACUUGGCAGGGAAGGCUGCUCUGAGGCGGACACCACAGCAACAUCGGUGCCUGGGGAACUUCAGAUCCAAGGGCACCUGAAGACCUAGUAUCCACACGGCUCCCUUCUCCUGUAACCCACCACGAUGUGGGCGGCCUCGAAGAAGGCCCACGAGCAACAUACCGAGUGCUCCAGGGAAGCGAGAGCACACACCGGGUAAGGGCUCGAGGCAGAGGUGAGCGAGCCAGGGCUGGAAAACUAAAGGUGACGUGAGCACAAGAUAAUGACAGUGCAGUUCCUAGAACAGCAUGGAAGACACUGCCUCAAGACAAAUAUUUUUUGAAUUCCUAAUGGAAAAAUGGCAUUUCUUUUAUUUAUUUUUAUGUAUUUUUGAGUGUUAACAAAUAGUUCUAGUGAUAAUUAGCAUCUUUGUAUAUUUAUUGAAAACCAGCACUAAAUCUGUAUAUUUACAGAAAAAUGCCUUAGACAUAGAAAUAGCACAAUUCCAUGUUUGUGAAUUGACAGCUUCCUCUAAACAUAGAGUAGAGAUUCAGC
rnacentral:lncRNA from 1 species